rnacentral:rRNA from 1 species
AGCCUGCCCAGUGACAAAGUUCAACGGCCGCGGUACCCUAACCGCGCGAAGGUAGCAUAAUCACUUGUUCUUUAAAUAGGGACUAGUAUCAACGGCAUCACGAGGGUUGCACUGUCUCCUUUCUCCAAUCAGUGAAACUGAUCUCCCCGUGAAGAAGCGGGGAUUCUUCUAUAAGACGAGAAGACCCUAUGGAGCUUUAAACCCAACAACAAACCUGUCAUAUUAUUCUUCAUAACCUACAGGAAUCAUGUUUGUUGGUUUUAGGUUGGGGUGACCGCGGAGUAAAACUUAUCCUCCACGACGAAAAGAACUAAAUCUUUAUCUAAGAGACACCACUCUAAGAAUUAGUAUACUAACGGACAAUGACCCAAUAUUUGAUCAACGGACCAAGUUACCCUAGGGAUAACAGCGCAAUCUACUUUGAGAGCUCCUAUCGACAAGUAGGCUUACGACCUCGAUGUUGGAUCAGGGUAUCCCAGUGGUGCAGCCGCUACUGAAGGUUCGUUUGUUCAACGAUUAAAACCCUACGUGAUCUGUUU